AAUGCCUGCCGUGGGUGGGAGUGGGUAAGAUUAUUUAUUUUAUAAAAAGGUAGAGCUAAGUAUGGAGAAAAUGAUCACAGGAGAAAACAUGGACCCUUUGGAGAAAAUAUGGGGGGGGGAAUAAGGAAAGACAGUGUGAAAGGCAUAUGUAUGGCAAGCACUUGGGGGCAUCAGUGAGGACUGACAACAAGGGUCAUAAUGAGCAGCAAUAAGCUCAGCAGGAUUGGUGGCCCUGGACUAUUAGCACAUUUACAGUUUUCAUCAUUGUUUGCAGCAGGUUAGAGCUGCAAUUCUUUUUUGUUUGUUUGCUCUCAGAUGCACAGCACUGACACAUCAGGCGCAUAGCAGCUGGUGUCAUGACUGUCAGCACAGAGGUAGACCUUCCUGUGUGAUACCACUUGACAUGUGAGACAAGAGGCUCAGAGAAGAAGGAUGGAUAUUUUAAAGUUGGCAUCACAGAAGACUCAGUACUGGAUCUCAGCUGUCACAAAGAUGGUGUGGGUAUGGAGCAAAGUGGGACGCCAGGAGGAGCCAUGCUGUGGAUGGAGGAAGGAUGCAAGUGAAGCACAGCUUCAUAAUCACACAAGGCAUUCCAUCUAACAACAUCAUAUGCUGGUUCUCACUAACCAGUUCUACUUCACAGAAAAAGAAGGUAAUGCUGAAGAUCACACAGCCAAGGGCAGAAGAAUCAGAGGUCUCCCCAAACAGGAUGAUUGCCACUGGCCACUAAAGUGCACACUCAUCAAGAAGAUAAAAAAUGGCUGAGGAGAGGCUAGAGAGAUGGCUCAGUGGUUAAUAGCACUGGCUGUUCUUCCAGGGGACCUGAGUUCAAUUCCCAGUACCCACAUGGCAGCUCACAACUGUCUGUAACUCCAGUUCUAAGGGAUCUGGCACCAUUAACACAGACAUAUAUGUGGGUGAAACACCAUUGUGCAUAAAAUAAAAAUAAAUUAUUUUAAAAGAAAAAAUAAAUUAUUUUUUAAAAUGGACUCCAUUGGUGCUUGCUGCACAGCAU
rnacentral:lncRNA from 1 species